rnacentral:rRNA from 1 species
CCUACGGGAGGCAGCAGUGGGGAAUAGUGCACAAUGGGCGAAAGCCUGAUGCAGCAACGCCGCGUGAAGGAAGAAGGGUUUCGGCUCGUAAACUUCUAUUAACAGGGAAGAAAGAAAUGACGGGACCGGAAUAAGAAGCCACGGCUAACUACGGGCCAGCAGCCGCGGUAAUACGUCGGGGGCAAGCGUUAUCCGGAAUUACUGGGUGUAAAGGGGGAGGAGGCGGCAUGGUAAGCCAGAUGGGAAAGCCUUGGGCUUAACCCGAGGAUUGCAUUUGGAACUAUCAAGCUCGAGUACAGGAGCGGCCAGCGGCAUUCCUAGUGUCGCGGUGACAUGCGUAGAUCUUA